ensembl:snRNA U1 U1 spliceosomal RNA
AUACUUACCUGGCAGGGGAGAUACGAUGAUCAUGAAGAUGGUUUUCCCAGGGAGACGCUCAUCCAUUGCACUCCAGGUGUUCUGAGCCCUGUGAUUUCCAAAAAUGUGGAAGACUCAACUGUGUAUUUGUGGUAGUGGGGGACUGUGUUUGCGCUUCCCCUAA